rnacentral:rRNA from 1 species
AUUGAACGCUGGCGGCAGGCCUAACACAUGCAAGUCGAGCGGAUGAAGGGAGCUUGCUCCUGGAUUCAGCGGCGGACGGGUGAGUAAUGCCUAGGAAUCUGCCUGGUAGUGGGGGAUAACGUCCGGAAACGGGCGCUAAUACCGCAUACGUCCUGAGGGAGAAAGUGGGGGAUCUUCGGACCUCACGCUAUCAGAUGAGCCUAGGUCGGAUUAGCUAGUUGGUGGGGUAAAGGCCUACCAAGGCGACGAUCCGUAACCGGCCUGAGAGGAUGAUCAGUCACACUGGAACUGAGACACGGUCCAGACUCCUACGGGAGGCAGCAGUGGGGAAUAUUGGACAAUGGGCGAAAGCCUGAUCCAGCCAUGCCGCGUGUGUGAAGAAGGUCUUCGGAUUGUAAAGCACUUUAAGUUGGGAGGAAGGGCAGUAAGUUAAUACCUUGCUGUUUUGACGUUACCAACAGAAUAAGCACCGGCUAACUUCGUG